rnacentral:tRNA from 1 species
GCAGUGGCGGUUUAGUGGUAGAGUUCUCACCUUCCAUGUGGGAGACUUGGGUCCAAGUCCUGGCCAGUGCA